GAUGAACGCUGGCGGCGUGCCUAAUACAUGCAAGUCGAGCGAACAGACGAGGAGCUUGCUCCUCUGACGUUAGCGGCGGACGGGUGAGUAACACGUGGAUAACCUACCUAUAAGACUGGGAUAACUUCGGGAAACCGGAGCUAAUACCGGAUAAUAUAUUGAACCGCAUGGUUCAAUAGUGAAAGACGGUUUUGCUGUCACUUAUAGAUGGAUCCGCGCCGCAUUAGCUAGUUGGUAAGGUAACGGCCUACCAAGGCAACGAUGCGUAGCCGACCUGAGAGGGUGAUCGGCCACACUGGAACUGAGACACGGUCCAGACUCCUACGGGAGGCAGCAGUAGGGAAUCUUCCGCAAUGGGCGAAAGCCUGACGCAGCAACGCCGCGUGAGUGAUGAAGGUCUUCGGAUCGUAAAACUCUGUUAUUAGGGAAGAACAAAUGUGUAAGUAACUAUGCACGUCUUGACGGUACCUAAUCAGAAAGCCACGGCUAACUACGUG
rnacentral:rRNA from 1 species